CCAAACAGCUUCAUUCAAAGGGAAAGAAACCCAAGGCCAAAGAAGUGAUUCACCCCAAGCUUUACUGUUUAUGACUUAUGAGAACCUCCAGGUGCCUAUGGCAGAUGAUAACAUGACUUGCAGUUUCCCCCAGACAGUUCAUUGUUCAUAAUGCAUGGUGGCUAACACAUUUGGGGGAUUUUUAUGUGGGUGCCCAAGCUCACAGUACCAGAACUAGCAGCUCUGUAGUCUGACUAGUCAGGACAGCAGAACGGAAGCUCCGCCCGGACUUCCCAGGGAUGAAUUCAGGCUCUCGAACUUUCUACUGAUGUGACUCUGGGCAAGUCACUUAACCUCUCUCUGCCUCAGUUUUCUGAGCUGCAAGUCAAGGAUUAUCAUAACAUUUCCCUUAGGGGCUGGGGUGAGAAAUGAACAAGAUAAUGUAACAUAAAGUGUUCACUGGGCACGGGGCCCUGCACAAAAGCAGUACUCAGAAAAUGUUGGCUAUUACCGACAGACACGAUGCACACCAACAUUUAUGCACGACACACAUUUGACUGGUUUUGUCUAGAACUCUGUCAAACUUGGCUAAUUACGAUCGCUGGGAAAAAUGAGAGAGGGAAUUAACGGUUCUCUAGCAGGGCUGGGAAGACCGAACCCGGCAGCUUAGAGAUAAAAGAUCCACCUUAUGACCUGACCUUGGAAGCCUUCCUGCCCUUCACGCUGAUGUCAACGGGGCUGGUCAACAAGAAAUGAAACUUCCUGGGCCCCUACUACGUGCCAGGCACAGCGUGAGACCCUAUCUCUUACUGGGUGAGGAAACAGGGUGCAAACACUCGGCGUGUGGAAAGCGGCGCGCGUGCUGAGGCCGUGCUUGGGGCACCGCCUGCUUUUCCCGGCUUUACGGCUUCUUCCUAAACUGAGGCCUCCGAAUUGAGGCUGUAGGUACGGGAGGCUCUUCCUUCAAUUUCGGGACAGCAGCUCAGGGGACAGGAGGACACAAGCCACGUGCCUCGGGGCCUGAAUUCACUUCAGAAGCCGGACGUCCCCAUGGAUACUCGGGAGCCGGACAGACCCCCGUGGGAAGGUUUGCUGGUGGCUUUGACCUUGGUGCCUGAGACUCAGUUUCCCAUUCUGCCGGCCGGGGGCGAUGACCUAGCCCCUCAGCCAAGCCCACCUGGCUAACGAAACAUGGAGUGACUGACGUGGGAGCGCCUCGGAUCCUCGCAUUCCUGACUCUUCAGGCUCUCCCUUAGUUUUGCUUGUGCAUGUAAAUGGUACCGAGUAAGGUAUCUAUCCCAAAGAACCGAAAGCAGGGACUCGAACAGACAUUUGUACGCCCGUGUUCAGAGCAGCGUUAUUCCCGAUGGCGGAAAGGUGGAAGAAGGCCAAGUGUCCGUCCACGGACGAGCGUGGUCCAUACACAUGAUGGAAUAUUGUUCGGCCUUAAACAAGAAGGGGAUUCCGACACGCUAUAACGUGGAUGCACCUUGAAGUUCAUCCGUGAUGCUGAGUGAAGUAAGCCGGUCGCCAAAGAACAAACACUGUGAGAGUCCACUGACGUGAGGUUCCUAGAGCAGUCAACUCACAGAGACAGAAUCAAUGGAGGCAAAAAACCAGGAGAUCCCAUAAAUCCCGUCGAGCUCGUCACAGCUGCCAAAUUAUGCCCUGAUAAAGCUUUUGGUGGCUAACGAUAUGGCCGUUCACCCGGAGUGGAUGCGGCCGGGAGGGAGGUUUCUGGAGAGCGUCUGGCCCACGGUGGAGACACUUGUCAUGAAGCGUUAUCUGAAGGCCCUCUGGCCCUAAUGAAGGGUGAAGCUUUGAACGUGAUUAUUUCUAAACAAAUAAAUAAUAAGGAUAACUUAAAAAUAAACAGAGAUCUCGA